GGCAGCCGCGGUAAUUCCAGCUCCAAUAGCGUAUAUUAAAGUUGUUGCAGUUAAAAAGCUCGUAGUUGAAUUUCGGGAUCAGUAUGUUGGUCGUGCUUCGGUACGUACUGUCAUUACUGGUUUCUACCUUCUGAAGAACCUUGAUGUCAUUAAUUUGGUGUCUUGGGGAAUCAGGACUGUUACUUUGAAAAAAUUAGAGUGUUUAAAGCAAGCAUACGCCUGAAUACAUUAGCAUGGAAUAAUGAAAUAGGACGUUUGAUUCUAUUUUGUUGGUUUCUAGGAUCGACGUAAUGAUUAAUAGGGAUAGUUGGGGGCAUUAGUAUUCAAUUGUCAGAGGUGAAAUUCUUGGAUUUAUUGAAGACUAACUACUGCGAGAGCAUUUGCCAAGGAUGUUUUCAUUAAUCAAGAACGAAAGUUAGGGGAUCGAAGACGAUCAGAUACCGUCGUAGUCUUAACCAUAAACUAUGCCGACUAGGGAU
rnacentral:rRNA from 1 species